rnacentral:rRNA from 1 species
GACGAGCCACCCAAACGUUAUUCGGAAUUACUGGGCUUAAAGGGUGCGUAGGCGGUGCGGAAAGUAGGGUGUGAAAGACCUCGGCUCAACCGAGGAAUGGCGCUCUAAACUACCGUGCUUGAGGGAGAUAGAGGUAAGCGGAACUUCGGGUGGAACGGUGAAAUGUGUUGAUAUCCGAAGGAACACCGGUGGCGAAAGCGGCUUACUGGAUCUUCUCUGACGCUGAGGC